GAAUGGGUAGGAUUUAUGACAGGCUUGUCCCCCUGGGCCUUUCAUAGUGUCCCAUGCCAGAGCAAACUAUGAUUCCGAACCAUUGCCUGGCCUCUGCCUGUUGACUACUGGCACUAAAGCUGUUUUCCCAGAG